rnacentral:rRNA from 1 species
UACGAGUGCCUCAAGCGUUAUCCGGAAUUAUUGGGCGUAAAGGGUGUGUAGGCGGUUUUGUUAGUCUUGUGUUAAAACCAGGAGCUCAACUUCUGAUAUGCACAGGAAACGGCAAAACUAGAGUGCGCGAGAGGUUUGCGGAACUCAUGGUGUAGGGGUGAAAUCCGUUGAUAUCAUGGGGAACACCAAAUGCGAAGGCAGCAAACUGGCGCGUCACUGACGCUGAAACACGAAAGCGUGGGUAGCGAAUGGG